UGCGGUUAUACAAAAAUUAAAUUGAAUUUUUUUAGGAUUUAAUAAUUAAAUAUUUAAUUAAUAGUUUAAAUUUUAAGUUAUAAGGUGAAAUUUUAACUUAAAUAAAUUUUAUUUUUUUUUAUGAUAUUAAUAAAUUUUAUAAAAAACUAGGAUUAGAUACCCUACUAUAAAAAUUUAAAUUUAAUAAUCUUAAAAUAGUAUAUAAUUUUUUAUAGAAACUUAAAUAAUUUGGCGGUAUUUUAGUUCAUUUAGAGGAAUCUGUCUAAUAAUUGAUAAUCCACGAUUAAAUUUACUUGGCUUAUAAUUUUGUAUAUCGUUGUUAAAAAAAUAUUUUUAAAUAAUUAUAAUAUUUUAAAAUUUAAAUAUAAAUUUAAAUCAGAUCAAGAUGCAGAUUAUAGCUAAGAAUAUGAUGGAUUACAAUAAGUUUUAUUUUUGGAUAUUAAUUUGAAUUAAGUUAAUUGAAAUUGGAUUUAAAUGUAAUUUUAUUUAUUUAAUUAAAAUGAUUAAUAAUUAAAAUAUGUACAUAUUGCCCGUCGCUUUCAUUUAUAAGUUGAAAUAAGUCGUAACAAAGUAGAGGUACUGGAAAGUGUUUCUAGAAAGAU
rnacentral:rRNA from 1 species